CGAAAUAGCUCAAUUGGUAGAGCAACUGAUUUGUAAUCAGUAGGUUACGGGUUCAAGUCCUGUUUUCGGC
rnacentral:tRNA from 4 species